UAGAUAACUGAUGAAAUGGAUGCUUUUCUUGUAAAUAGUUUGUAAAUAUGUUUUGAGUGUUGUUGUGUUAAAAGAGGCUAACUUCAGCUGUUGUUGUGUGUAAAAGAUGCUGAACUUAGUGGAAAAAAAUGGAGAAAAAAAUUGGAAAAUAAUGAGUGUAGCUGGUCUUCGGCAACAAGCAGAAUCCCGGGAGAUCAACGUUGAGUUGGAUGGUAUACAUUUGCAGUGAAAGAGAUGAAAUCGUUGUGGAGGAAAAGUUGUAAGGUAAAUUGAAUGUUAGCAUGAGAAACUGUUUCUGUAAAUACACUCUGCUACUGAUAAUAUGCUAUGACCUGUUUGUUUAAGUGCAUUUACACAAUAUGGCACCAAUUGGAAUUAGUAAAUGUAAUAAAUGUAGCAUACCAUAUGUAGCUGUUCUCAAUUAGCAAACAUACAUGAUAAACAGGAACACAGAUGGAAACUAUGAUAUUAUGUUUCAAUUCUGUAUAAUGUAUAUUAUAUAUGUUUCAAUACGAUGUAUUAUAUGUGAUCCAUUUGUGGUAAAAUACUGUACAAUUUAAAACAAAUUUUAUUUUUUUAUUUUUCAUCUGGGGUCUAACUUCAGCUGUUGUUGUGUGUAAAAGAUGCUGAACUUAGUGGAACAAAAUUGGAAAAUAAUGAGUGUAGCUGGUCUUCGGCAACAAGCAGAAUCCCGGGAGAUCAACGUUGAGUUGGAUGGUAUACAUUUGCAGUGAAAGAGAUGAAAUCGUUG